UAAACGGCCGCGGUAACCUGACCGUGCUAAGGUAGCAUAAUAAUUUGCCUCUUAAUUAGUGGCUAGAAUGAACGGACUCACGAGAGCUAAGCUGUCUCUUUUCCACAACUAAAAACUAACUUCCAGGCGAAAAGGCCUGAAUAACUCUAUAGGACAAGAAGACCCUGUCAAGCUUUACUAGCCUAAUCUACACCCAAUAUUUCCAAUAAAAUUAUUAGAUUUCUCUCUAGUUUAGUUGGGGCGACUGGGGACCAAAACUAGCGUCCCCCACUUACUUUAAGGGUAAUAACCCUAAUAAAAUGAUCCUUAAAAAGACCAAGAGAUAAGCUACUGCAGGGAUAACAGGCUAAUUUUCCCCAAGAGCUCAAAUCGAAGGGAAAGUUGGCACCUCGAUGUUGGCUUAAGACAUCCAUAAAGUGCAGCAGCUUUAAACGGUGGGUUUGUUCAACCCUUAAAGUCUUACGUGAUCUGAGU
rnacentral:rRNA from 1 species